GAGAAGUCCUGUUGUAUGAUCUACAUUGCUUGUUGAAGAGGAGCUUUGGGUGUCACUGCUUGGAGGUCGAAAGACAAUCAACGUCUGAGAGGGAAAUAUGUUGGUGCGCAAUUUAUACAACUUGUUUGAAUGUGGGCUUACAUCAACGACAGCAAGACUUUGCGAUCGACACUCUACUCUGUCAAAUGGAUAUUUAACUGUGCUGUUUUUCAACAACUUUGCAUGGGCUACAAUAAGAGCUGG